GACACUGUGGCCGAGUGGUUAAGGCGAUGGCCUGCUAGUUCCUCAGUGCCCUAGCAUACAAGACAGCCAUUGGGUUCGCCCGCGUGAGUUCGAAUCUCAUCGGUGUCG